UCGGAUUAAAGCCAACUAUUUAAAGUAAUGUAGCUGUAAUCGAUAGAAGUAAAAAUACUGUAAAAUCAGUAGAAGCUGUUAUAGAUUAAAGGCAAACGAAUACUAAGCACAUGCCAGAAGUAAAACACAUAGGAUUUAACCAUUUUAUUCUCUGUUUUGUCAGCUUUCCCUUCGUUUCUUUUUCUUCCUAUUAUUUAAAACUUUUACUUGCCCGUUAUUAGCAAAAGGUGUCUCCCCUCGCUCUGGCUGGUAAAGGAGCUCUAUCAUCUUAGGCCAUCCCGUACGUCGAUUUAGUUACCUGCACAUGGCUGUAUGGGUUGCACAAAUGAAUAUAAAAUAAGUCAUUUUAAAGUCAUCUGCUUGUAUUCACUUGUACGCUUAAAAUAACCGUAUCCGGCUGAUCUGGCUGUCUGUGGGCUGUGAACCAAUCAAGCGGUAUCUGAACUAGUUUUACACAACUUGAGACAUAAGAAAGCUUAAAAAUCAAGGUUUGCAGCCAGAAAUUAGUAAAAAAAAAAGGGAUCCGGAAAGCAACAUAAUGUCUGAGAAAUGAUAGAGACUAAAAACAAGGAUAAACAAGAGAGAGACAAAAAGGAGACACCAUACUAGUUUUCCUCUUUGCUAGAGCAGAAUAGCAAUUCAACAGCUAAAGCUAAAUUCUCAAAAGCACGCGUUAAAAUAACCUAAAAUCGACUUGAAUCCAAGAAUAAAAAAAGGAGUGAUUUGAUUCAGAUGAUCGAACUGGUACACAGGAAAAUUGAAAAAAAUGCAAGUAUUGACUGCAUGUUACUUUAGGGAAGUUCCACAGACAAGUCAGCUACCCCAUAGCAAUCACUUCAAGGACAAGUGAUUCGCUCAGCAACAGCUCUCACCAAACUAAAUGCUUCACCCAUUCUUGCUUGCACAUUUGUAAGUUUCUCUAGCCAAGGCUCAAACAAUGAUACAACACCUCACUUACAAAACAUCACCUUUAGUGCUACCACUAUACGAGUUAGGAGGCAGGAGACAUAUAUGAGGAACCAGUAGCACCAUACUGUAACCUCAUCUUCUCUGAUGAGAAAGAGAUGAUGAGAGAGGGUGAUGCACGUGUUACGCUUCUAAGAAGCAAGCUCCAUGGCCUGGUCGAAAGGAACCGAGAUCUGGAAGAGGAAAACAAGCAAUUGAGACACCAAGUGAGCCAAUUAAAAGGUCAGAUCUCCUCUCUCGAAGGCCAGGAAACUAAUAAGAGGAUGCUGUGGAAGAAGCUGGAGAAUUCUGCAACCGGCAUCAGCUACUCCAAGGAAAAGCAGUUUGUCCAGAGCAACGAUGGUGCUAAGGAAGCCGUAGAUCUCAACAGCUCAUUGUCUCACAGCAGGCAGCAAUUCUCCAGUGUAAACCAAGUGAGAUCAAGGGCGCCAAGGGUUCCAAAUCAACCUCCCAAUCCGACAAGCACCCAACCAAAGGCAACUGUGAGAAAGGAAGGAUGCAUGGCCCCUCCUCCUCCUCCUCCUCCUCUACCUUCCAAGUUGCAGAGGAGCACAAAGGCGAUACAAAGGGUACCAGAGGUAGUCGAGUUGUACCGGUCGCUAGUGCGGCGUGAAGGCAAAAAUAAUGCAAAGUCUGGAUCCGUAGGAAUUCCAGCAGCAACGAACAGCAGAGAGAUGAUCGGGGAGAUUGAGAACAGAUCAGCUUAUGUUUUAGCUGUAAGUACAUAGUAUUUUUUUGCUAUCAUAUUUAAGCAUGUUGAUGUGUAACGCCUUGUUCUGCUUCUCUGCCGAUUCCUUCUGUCCUUUUAUUCUUUUUUCUUUAAAUCAACACUUUCAAUAAAUGGUUGGGAAAUUAUUAUUUUUCCAAGGCAUUACCUAGCAGUUCUUUAUUGGACUACAGACAUCGGAGAAGGAUCGUCAACAAUAAAUUAAUUUCCGAUAUCCAAGGGAGAUUUGUUUCUUGUAUAGCAUGCUCCCUUAUCGUUCAAAACCUGCUCAUCAGAAUAUAUCAUGUAUCCGUGCACCAAUCAAUUUAACUCCUCCAGGUGGAGACUGUUCGUCCCCCCUUGUUGCAUAAAAAAAGAAUAUAUCAUGUAUUCUCUGUCCAUCCAUCCUGUGUUACGUGGAGAGCAGCCAGCAUUUGGUUUGUUUCUGCAUGAGGUCCCCGCGGAUCGGCCUGCCUGUCUGCCUAGCCAUUUUAGCUGUUGAUUCAUAGAUAGACCACGGACACCCCUGCCUUGUCCAUCUUGGUAGCUAAUAUAGUUUUCAGAGAGUUUUUAAGUUAACACUUAACUACAGAAACAAUAUAUAUGUACAUUAUGUCUUUGAUAUUUAAAAAGGAAUCCUAACAACAAUAAACAAUACUUUUGCCAUGUUACACUAGAGGAGUUGACAACUAUUUAGUUUUACCACUACUAGCAAAAUUGUAAUGGUGGAUCAUGGCCUAUUGGCCUGCACAAAUGGUGUAGAAAGCGAUGCUUUAGCCUCUGUUUGGAACCUCUAGAGUCUAGAGCUAAUAGUUAGCUGUUAAAAUUAGUCGUAGAGGUUCCAAACACCCCAGCUAAUACUCUAGUUAAUUGUCUAGAGUCUAGAGCUAAUAGUUAGCUACUAAAAUUAGUCGUAGAGGUUUCAAACACCCCAGCUAAUACUCUAGUUAUUUGUUAGAUAAAUCACAGCUAACAAUUAGUCCAUUAGCUAGCUCAACCUAGCUAACAAUUUGUUAGUUGACUAACUAUUAGCUCUAGGGGUUUUAAAUAGGACCUUAAUAUUCUCCAUAUGCCCCCUUAAUAAAAAGAGCAUUUUGAAAUGCGUGCAGAAAAAACAUUAGCUAUGUGCCUUAAUUAAAUAUCUGAGUACAUAUGUGUAUGCAUGUUUGUAUAGAAAGUAUUUUCACAAUAUACUAGAUUUUACUGGGUUUCAUGACAUGUCAAGGAAUAGAAAGUAAUAGUCAAAGCUGUGUACAGGGUACCAUGUCAAUGCCCAAACCAUCACUUAUUUGUGACUGUUGGGAGUGUCAGUUAUUUCCCCUAUCACACUUCUCAUAACUAAUUCUAAAACACCCCCUUAUAUUUUCUAUUUCAACAGAUUAAAUCAGACGUAGAAAAUCAAGGCAACUUCGUGAACUUCCUCGCAAGUGAAGUUCAAAACGCAGCAUACAAAAAGAUAGCUGACGUUGAAGAGUUUGUGAAGUGGCUUGAUGGGGAAUUGUCAUACCUUGUGGAUGAAAGAGCAGUGCUAAAACAAUUCCCCAACUGGCCCGAGAAGAAAGCAGAUGCCUUGAGAGAAGCAGCAUUCAACUACCGCGAUCUGAAGAACAUAGAGUCGGAAGCAUCAUCCUUCCAUGAUGACAGGAGAGUGGCCACACCUAUGGCUCUCAAGCGCAUGCAGGCAUUGCAGGACAAGUGAGUAAGAUGACUGAAAUGUAUUUAACAGAAUAAAAAAUGCUGAAUACCUUCUACUUUUAAAUUCUACGGAACGAUACUAAAUCAAGAAAUCAACAUUCACCUAAUUGUGCUUUCCCUUGUUGUAGAAUUGAACAAGGUAUUCAUAACACUGAGCGAGUAAGGGACAGUGCAAGCGGAAGAUAUAAGGACCUUAAGAUACCAUGGGAAUGGAUGCUCGACUCUGGAGUCAUAAGCCAAGUAUGUCUUCCUUUCACAGUAUGUUCUGUCACAACUCGCAAUAAAGGAGAGGCAUUUAGUUUCACAAAAGUGUGGAGUCCAAAUACAAUAAUAGACAUAUGACACAUGGUGCAUGCCCAUCCUACAUUAAACAGCUAAAGAUGGCUUCCUUGAAGCUUGCAAAAGAGUACAUGAACCGCAUUGUGAAGACACUGAAGUCAGAUCCAUUUGCGAAUGAGGAGGAGCUGCUUCUGCAAGGUGUCCGCUUUGCCUUCCGCAUACAUCAGGUAACUUGUUCCGAACCACGAAUUAAUUCGCAACGACACUUGCAGAAACUAAUUAAUUAACUGACUGCACCGAAACAAAUUUGCAGCUUGCUGGUGGCUUUGACGAAGGAUGCAGAAAGGCAUUUCAGGAACUAAAUACUAAUGCAAGCAAGUCAGAGUGAUCCGAGUUCACGUGGGUUCAAAUAAAAGUCGAGAUCACACAUAGAUAAAUAUGACACACAUAGAUUAUCAAGUUUUGCCGAGGUUGGCUCCAAGGGUCUCCACCAAGACUUGAUGAUGGUGCUGCAUCUUCUAAAGUUUAAUUUAUUUGGCAUCAGGUGCUGAUCUCUUGGAUACAAGUUGAGGCUCUGAAAAAUUUCUAAACGAAUCGUACAUAUGAGCAGUCGAGCACAAACCUAAUUCACCAACAUUCUCCCUCGAGAGUUGAGAUCGUUAGGUCUUGGUCGAUCACCAACACAUGCGCGAAGCAUGACACAAAAAAGCCAUAGAAAUGCAGAAUCGGUUCCUGGUCCGUUUGGUUUGCACUUUGCAGAACGGGAUAGUCUGCCGAACCAUCCCAGCCUAUGACGUUGUUUGGUUUGAGACGCUAGCUGUCCGUCAUGAACGAGCACUAGUGACAUGUUAAUCUGAGGAAAGAGUCCAUCCAGACCACCUCAUUCCGAAUUGACUCUCACGCCGGAUUAAGGCCAACCGGCUAACCAAACACACCGUAGAUCACCCACACAAGAACGACGGCAAGACAUAUGUAAAUUAUGCCAUAAGUACCUGGGUCGCGCCGCUGCCCUUCGUGGGUGGAUUCGCUGCAGCGACAACUUGUCGAUCGGGUGCCUAACUGACGUCAUGUCGCCGCGGCGACGCGCAGCCGCCUGUCGCCGCCGUUUACUUCCCCGCAGGUUUCCACGUUCUUCUUCCCAUGGAGACGGGAUCGGGGACGGCUCGCUACCUCAUCUGGGCCCACGAGCCAGCGAGACGCUCCCGCAGCGUCACCGUCGCGCACCAACUUCCCACUUUC
rnacentral:lncRNA from 1 species